GCUAAAAAUCUAGCCCAACCAACCCCCUCAACUAUAUUCACUAACUAAAACAUUUCCUCAUCUUAGUAAAGGCGAUUGAAAAACUUCCAGGAGCAACAAAAAUAGUACCGAAAGGGAAAGAUGAAAUAUUAAUGAAAAACCUAUUUAAGCACAAUAAAGUAGAGAUUAGCUCUCGUACCUUUCGCAUCAUGGUUUAACUAGUCAAAUCAAGCAAAGUGACCUAAAGUCUGACCCCCCGAAACUAGACGAGCUACCUCAGGACAGCUUUUAGAGCUAACCCGUCCCUGUUGCAAAAGGGUGGAAAGAUCCUAUAGUAGUGGUGAUAUACCUACCGAGCCUAGUGAUAGCUGGUUACUCAAAAAAAAGAAUUUAAGUCCAGCCUAAAGAAUAAUGAAUCCCCACCUUAAAUUUACUAUCAAAAUAAUAUAAUUUCUUUAGAGUAAUUCAAAUAAGGUACAGCCUAUUUGAAACAGGAUACAACCUAAAUUAAAGGGUAAUACCUCUAAUGUUCAACCAAGUAGGCCUAAAAGCAGCCACCUUUACCGAAAGCGUCAAAGCUCUAUUGUUCAUUUAUUUAAUACCACAUAUUAUAUAGAACCCUUUUCCCCUAUUGAGUACUUCUAUAUUCUUAUAGAACCUUUAAUGUUAAAACUAGUAACAAGAAGUAGACCUUCUCUUAAAUGUGAGUGUAAAUCAUAAUGGACCUUUCCCCGAUGGUAGUUACCACCUAUAAAAAUAAAUUAGUAACAUUACAAGAAAAACCUUAUUUAUACUGUGUUAACCUAACACAAGAGCAUUUCAAGAAAGAUUAUAAGAGAAAGAAGGAACUCGGCAAACAUUAACCUCGCCUGUUUACCAAAAACAUCGCCUCUUGUCUUAAUAUAAGAGGUCUAGCCUGCCCAGUGAACUUCAAUUCAACGGCCGCGGUAUUCUAACCGUGCUAAGGUAGCGUAAUCAUUUGUCCUUUAAAUGCGGACCAGUAUGAAUGGCAUCACGAAGGUUAUACUGUCUCCUUUUUCUAAUCAGUGAAACUAAUCUCCCCGUGAAGAAGCGGGGAUAGCCCUAUAAGACGAGAAGACCCUAUGGAGCUUUAAACUAAGCAACAAAUGCUCUAUUUUAUUAAAUCUUAGAUUUAUUAACAUUUAUUUAGCUUAAUGUCUGCCAGUUUUAGGUUGGGGUGACCGCGGAGUAAAAAAUAACCUCCACAUUGAACAGAGCCUAGCUUCUGAGCCACGAACUACAACUCUAAGCACCAAUAUUACUGACAUAAAUUGACCCAAUAUAUUGAUCAACGAACCAAGUUACCCUAGGGAUAACAGCGCAAUCCGCUUCAAGAGCCCCUAUCGACAAGCGGGUUUACGACCUCGAUGUUGGAUCAGGGUAUCCCAGUGGUGUAGCCGCUACUAAAGGUUCGUU
rnacentral:rRNA from 1 species